GACGAACGCUGGCGGCGUGCUUAACACAUGCAAGUCGAACGGAAAGGCCCUGCUUUUGUGGGGUGCUCGAGUGGCGAACGGGUGAGUAACACGUGAGUAACCUGCCCUUGACUUUGGGAUAACUUCAGGAAACUGGGGCUAAUACCGGAUAGGAGCUCCUGCUGCAUGGUGGGGGUGGGAAAGUCUCGGCGGUUGGGGAUGGACUCGCGGCUGAUCAGCUUGUUGGUGGGGUAGUGGCUUACCAAGGCUUUGACGGGUAGCCGGCCUGGGAGGGUGACCGGGCACAAUGGGACUGAGAUACGGCCCAGACUCCAACGGGGGGCAGCAGUGGGGAAUAUUGCACAAUGGGCGGAAGCCUGAUGCAGCAACGCCGCGUGCGGGAUGACGGCCUUCGGGUUGUAAACCGCUUUCGCCUGUGACGAAGCGUGAGUGACGGUAAUGGGUAAAGAAGCACCGGCUAACUACGUG
rnacentral:rRNA from 1 species